rnacentral:lncRNA from 1 species
GAUUAUUAUGGUCUAAAUGUUGUUUUGGGUAUUGAUAGUUUGGGAAGUCGAAGGGUCAGCAGUUCAGAAAAUGCCAGUUAGCAGUCAGAAGUGUUCAGCAAGUCUUCAACAGUGUGAGGUGAGUCUCCUCACUGUUUGUAUGGGUCUAUGGCCACAAUGUCGGCCCAUUUAGUUUAUGUAUGGUAGAAAGACCCGGGGGUUAGCCCUAGGCAUUAUGCAUGAAAGACCAGGAGGUGGCUCCUGGCACACUGUAUUUGUUUAUGUAUGGUAGAAAGACCCGGGGGUUAGCCCUAGGCAGUAUGUAUGAAAGACCAGGAGGUGGCUCCUGGCACACUGUAUUUGUUUAUGUAUGGUAGGAAGACCCAAGGGUUAGCCCCAAGCAAUAUGUAUGAAAGACCAGGAGAUGGCUCUUGGCACACUAUAUGUUGUUAUGUAUGAAAGACCAGGAGGUGGUUCCUGGCACACCGUAUGCUGAGUAGCCUAGUAAAGUAGUAUGUAUAGUUAUCUUUGUGAUGAUUGCAUGGAAGACCAGGGGGUGGCCCUUGGCACUUGUCUGUAAGACCUAGGGAGUGGCCCAGGCUUGACAAGGAAGACCACGUGCGGCCCGUGGCAUAACAGCAAGACUAUGUUUGGCACAUAGCACCUUACUUGAUUAUGGAUAUGUUUGUUAUGUAUGGCUCAUGGUUACAUAUGGCAUGUAUGGAUCAGUUGAUAUGUAUGGUAUGUGGUAUCUGGGGAACUCACUAAGCUUCGUGCUUACGGUUUUUAGCUAUUUGUUUCAGGUAUUAAUGUUUUUCCGAGGAAGGAGCUCUGGGCGAUCGCAGCGUAUCACACCAUGUUUUCCGCACUAGAUUAUCUUUGGGAUUUAAAAAUCUGAUAAAUGUCUUAUUGAGAAUGUUAUUAAAUGAUUGAGAAAAAUUUAUUUAGCGGUUUUUAAUUGAUCAAAACGAAAUUUUUGGUCUUGAAUUUUGGGAUGUUACAUGUUGGUAUCAUAGCCUUGGUUUGAGGGAUUUGGGCACACUCUCGGGUGUGUCUGGACUCAAAUUGAUGGCUUGAUAUGAAAAUUUUCAAAAGGAACUUGAAAAGUAUUUGAAAGGAGAAAAGAACUUUGAAAAGAACAAGGUGUGUGAUGCGUGCAAUCGACCGAGCUCAAGUAAGUGGUUCCCAAAAUACCAAUACAUGUUUGAUAUGUGACAUGAUAUGAUUAUAUGAAUUGCAUGCUAGAUUAUGGCUAAGGAUCUAAGAGACAUACCUUGUAUGCUUAUGUGAACUUAUAGAAUUGAAUUCUAGAACUGAUCAGCCAGUAGUAGGAUGGCAUGUUUAGGUUAUGCCUGAUUGUAUGAGCCCUAGAAUUGCAUGCUAGUGUAGAUUCCUAAUAAGAGGAUAGAACGAAUUGUUUGGUUAGAUUUUCCGCUUGUCUGAAUGUUGCUUGCUUUGUGCUUUGUGGGACUUUAAGUAAUGGGAGUUAGCUACAAGAUGAAUGUGUUAAGUCACAUGUGAUCAGGGUUGAAUAAUCUUAGAGUGCUGGACUUAACCCUAUUGCACAACGCUUGUCUUAGUCUAACCGUUGUAGGGAUGAGUCUUUUACUCGAAGGAUUAUCCAAGCCUCGUCACAUGUGAUGGUAUUCAUGUUGUGGUUAAUUGGCAUUAUGAAGAGUCUUUCAACAGCUAAGGAUUGGGUUUGGGAUUGGAGAUUUCCCUAAGGUAAGCCUAGAAGGAGAGUAGCAGAAAGCAGCAGUAGUAGAGGGACUUGGUAAAGUCGAAGCAAUCCUUGAGAAAGUACGGAUAGAUGUGGAAGGUAGUAUGGGCCCGUACUACUGAAAGCAGAGGAUCCGUACUCGAGUCAAAGAGCGUCGAGAUAGAACCAGGAAACUUGUAGUAUGUGAGACCUUCUGAGGUGACAUACGACCCUGACAAUUAUGUGUUUUGUUUCAGAAUGGUGAUGAUUACGCGACAUGGAGCAAGAGGAUCAGGAUCCGGUUUAGGAUCAGGUUCGGGUGCAUGUUCCGAGCCAAUGGAUGAGGGACUACGCGAGUUCAUCGCGUCUGAGAUCACGAGAGGUAUCCUUGAGUCAACCUCGGUGAUUUUCGGGUCGAUCAAGGAAGGGAUUAUUGAGCUGAUGGAGGAUCACCUCAGAGCGUUCCGAAGUGAUAUGGCAUCCGACCAAUCAGAAUCACGCACAUUGUCCUUCAAGGACUUCAGGGGGAGUGGCGCGCCAGACUUCCAAGGGGUGAAGGACCCCAUUGUUGCCAUGAGAUGGAUUGCAGACAUUGAGUCUGCACAGUUGACGAGCUUCUGUCCCGAGGGGUCGAAGGUUCGAUUUGCUGCAGGAUGCUUGAGGGACAGAGCUAGAGAUUGGUGGGAGUCAGUUAGUGAUUCCUUGGGAGCCUCAACAAUUGAGGUUAUGACCUGGUCCGAAUUUGUGACCAGGUUUAGGGAGGAGUUUGCGCUGGCUGUGGAGCUUCAGCAGCUGGCCAGGGAGUUCCUAGACAUGAGACAGACGACGAAGUCGGUGGCGGAGAUUACCGCCAAGUUCUGGGAGAGGGCCUUAUUUGUGCCUCAGUAUGCAGGGGAUGAGGAGAUACAAAGGACCCGCUAUCAUGACAUGUUGAGAGCUAGUAUUCGGGAGCAUGUUAGCUUCUCGGCAUGCCCGACCUUGGACUCUAUGAUUUCUAGGGCACGGGAAAGGGAGAUUGAUUUGGAGCACAUUGCGAAGAGGAGGUCGGUUCAGAUGUAUACUUUGGAGGGUCCCGGGAAGAGACCCAAGUCUUUAGAUUAGCAAUUAGUAGGUCGGCAAGGCUGAAGUCAGUGCAGCACGUGCGGGAAACUGCAUGAGGAAGUUUGUCGUUCCGGGGGUUCAGGCUGCUACAAGUGUGGCAGUGAUGGUCACGUCAGCAGGGACUGCCCACAGGGGGCAAGCCCAAUAUGUUUUCACUGCAAUCAGGUGGGCCACAAGAAGGCUAACUGCCUGAAUAUGAGGGGAGGAGCAGGGAGUGUGUCUGCCCCGACAACUUUGAGGAUUACAGAUGGGUGAGAGGGUAGGGCCUUGUAGUGACAGAUGAGGGAGAUCUGGAUUACAACAGGGAAUGUUUCAGGUAUGUAUCGAUAGCUAUUUUCGAUUUUAUAUGUAUCAGGAUUGUUCUUACCUCAGUCUCAGGUGAUAGUAUGUAUGAGUUGUCUCUCUGCUUGUAUUCAGAUUGUAUUUUUAGAAUUGUCAUAUGCCAAUUGCAUACCAGGAACUAUUAGUAGCUAGUGUAAGGUCAUCUCUCACUUCGGGUUCGAAGUGUCCAAUAUUAUCUCGGUUGCGACUGAAAACAGUUCAGGAGCGUUACGUGGAGGUCGAUGGGCAGGGUCCAUGGAGUAUUCAUCCACCAUCAUCAGGGUUUGGUGGUUCUAGUCUUGGUGUUUGGGAUAACUUUUGGAAGCAUCAAGGGAAGUGGUCUAUCACUGAAGAGGUUGCUCUGAGCAUUAGUUAUUCAUACCUUAAGGACAUCAGUUUGAGCUUAGGGGAUUAUCAGUACCGAGGAUGCAGGAAGUGUUCAUCUAGUAUUCAGUAAUCGUACGGUAUUUGGAGUGGGUUAGUGACAGAUUGCUAGCAAGAUUAAGGCGAUGGUAGUUAGCAUGCCUAUUGUGUAAGGGAUGAAGGAAUGGAAAUCCUUGGACUUUCGCGUGCCGUAAAGACUUAGCCGAAGCUAAGUGGGGGAGAAACAAUCAUGUUACGGGAGCAGAAGCAGUUUUGAAACUGGGAUAAGUUUCGCUCUCCUGUUAGGGAGAAAGACGGCCCAGGCGGCUGUAUGAAUUGAGGAUAGAGUGAAUUAGAAGUUUGGAAAACUUGCCAAUUGUGAGAUCGCAUUCUCGGGAUGUCUAAUAGAAGGUUUCAGAAGAAUCAGUUGGGAGUUUCAGUUAGGACAUGAGUACAGUUUGGGGUACUAGAUUGUGCUUGUAUGCUCAAUUAUGGGUAUAUACGGAUUAGUAGUGAGCGAAAGACCAUGAUUAGCGGUCGAGUCAGUGUGGAAGGUGUUGUAAGACUAUGGGUUAGUCGUAGCAUCCACUAGCAGCCAGUUGGUGUGGAAGGUGUUGUCAGACUACCGGAUAGUCGUAGCAUUCACCAGUGGUCAGAUAGUAUGAGAAGUGUGGUAAGACUGCGGGGUGGUCCGUAGCAAUGGUUAGCAGAUAGUGUGGGAGUGUUAGAAGACUAUGGGGUGACCUGUAGCGUUCACUAGUUAGCAGAUAUAGUAAGGGAGUUGUAAGACUGCGGUGUGGCCUGUAACAAUCGUAUAUUAGUAUAGUUAGACUGCGGUGUGGCCUUUAGCAUUAGUAUAGUAAGAUUGUAGGGUGGCCCAUAGCAUUAGUUGGCAGAUAGCGUAGAAGUGUGGUGAGACUGUGGGGUGGCCCGUAACAUCAAUUGGUUGGUAGCGCAGAAGUGUUGUAAGACUAUGGGGGUGGCCCGUAGCAUUCACUAGUUGGCAGAACAAGUAUAGUAAGACUACGGGGUGGCCCGUAGCAUUCGUCGGUCCCUAUUCGACAGUACGAAUGUAUCACAUGCAUAAUUUGCUGGCAGUGUUUUUCAGAUAGUUUAAGAUAGGGUGGAGCAGCCACUCGGAUGUGAGUGGGCGGGGGCCCGUAUCUCCGAGCUAGCAUGAUAAGAAUCAGGAAAGUUUAGCUAGAUGAGAUUAGAGGAUGAGUGGGUCUGCAUAGCCCUGGAUAGGUGAGACCUGUGGGAGAGGUCGCUCCGAAGUUUAGAUGGGUGAGACUCGUGGGCAAGGCCCGUGUUCUUUUAGCAACAGGUGAUACCUGGUAGAGACCUUAGGGUAAGGUAGGGGAUCGGGGAUCCUAGAUUUUCUAGAGCUAGAGUGGCUGGGUUGAUAGAGCAAUUCAGGUAGUCGUUGUAUCUUCUUAAGUCGCUGAGAGCGACCGAGGGAAUGUUCUUACAUUCAGUAACCGGUGGGGGACCGAUAUUUCGGGUAAUGGUAGAUCAGUUGGGACCAGGGCGGUCUCGGUUCAUCCGAUAGGCGGAACUUCAGGUAGGAAUGAUGGUAAGGGAUUUGGUGUAAGAAGUCGUGAUCUGAUCGGGUGGUGCUGAGUUGCUCACUGCAGAAUCAAAUGAUCUCAUAGUAGAUGAUUUGGCUCGGUGAUGUUUUCUCGUCUGAGCCUUAAACGUAGCAGAGAGGGAUUUGCUACUUGAAGGAUUGUCUGAAUUCUCACGAUGAGUGGAGUUUUCAGUAUUGGAGCAUCGUUAUGGGAUUAUUCCGGCACCGGGAGUGGCCGGGAUUGUGGUUUCAGCAGAGGAUUGGUCCUCAAAGGAGAUUAGUAAGGUUGUUGUUAGGAAGAUGCCUUGGAAGGGCAGGUGGCAAUACAAGGAAAACGGGUGGACCCCUUGUGUAUCAGUGUAAGUGCACUGGGAGUACCGGUUGGGUAAAAGUAUUGUACUCGAAGGUAGUAGAGAUCGGAUUAUUCUGAAGACGAGAUUUCCAAGGAUUGGAACGGUUGGACGAAGAGUGUAACUAGUGGUAAGUGGUAAGUGGAUUGUAAGGUAGUGAACUGUGGCGGGCUUCGAGGACGAAGUCUAGUUUAAGUGGGGGAGAGUUGUAACACCCUAAGUUCAGGAGGCCUAGAAAAGGAAAGGAAACCUCAAAUAAGGGAGUAACUCUUCGAGUAGAUGGGUGACUCGACGAGUAGGAACGCGAUUUUGGUCGCGGGUUAAGUGACCUACUCGACGAGUCAGAGGACUGACUCAGCGAAUUGGCAGGUUUUGGGAAAAUCCUAAAUCGGGAGUUGGUGCCCUAUUUACACAUCUUAUUCUCAGUCUAUCAGCCUCAUUUGUAGCCUCCGUUGUCUAGAACAUUUCCCAUGAAACUCUAGUGUUCUCUUUGAGUGUGUGAGCCUUUAUUGAAGGAUUUAGAGUGUCCUUAAAGUCUAGAAGAAGAAGAAGGAGGUUGGAUGUCCAAGGAGAAGGUUGUGGAUCCAGAAAUUUUGCUUCAUCUUCUUCAUUUGCUAGUAAUCAAGUUCUCACCUUGACUUCUAGAUUGAUAGAUCUCUUUAUGUCCCUUUUUAUGGAGUUUAUGGUCCAAGAAGGAUGUCUUGUGGGAUUUGGACGUCCCCAAGCUAGGUCCUUCUAGAUUUAGAGGUGUUCAGAGUAGUAGAGGCAUAAAGAUGGAAGAUUUAUGCCAUUAUACCUCUCCAUGCAAAGUUUAAGGAGUUGUUUUGACCUUUUGAGCAAAAAGGGCCAUGCAUGGGUGCAAUGGUAGUGGCUUUGUGUGAUAUCACGACCCUAGAAGGCCAGAUCUGGGUCUUGGAUGCCUUAAGCUUGUCUGAAAUCGUCUAAAUAGUGUUGGACAUAGAGAGACUCGGCGAGUCAGGCCAGUUCUUGCCCCAAAACCCUUCUGUUAAGGGUAUGAGUGAGCUUGGAAAGGGACUCAGUCUGCCCGAGUCCAUAAUGGUCAUGAAGUUCAUCGUAGUCAACGAGUUCAAGGAAGAACUCGACGAGUCUAAGGCAAUCUCUUUAGUUAUGAAGAUGGACUCAACGAGUUGUUCAUACAACUCGACGAGUCACAUCCUAGACACAUUCAUAUGUGGAUGAUGAACUCGACGAGUUCAAGGUCGAACUCGGCGAGUCGGAUGAAGUUGGUCCCGAUUGUAUGGUUGAAAGAGAACCCGUCAAGCUAUUGCUAGACUCAAAGAGUGGAUUCGAGGUUGUAUGGGGUUGGAGGAGUAUGGACUCGACGAGUUGGUAGAUCAACUCGGCGAGUCAAGUCAACUGGAGGUUGACUUACCAAGUUUGACCAUGGUUGAAUUUUGGAUUAUUAUGGUCUAAAUGUUGUUUUGGGUAUUGAUAGUUAGGGAAGUCGAAGGGUCAGCAGUUCAAAAAUGUCAGUUAGCAGUCAGAAGUGUUCAGCAAGUCUUCAGCAGUGUGAGGUGAGUCUCCUCACUGUUUCUAUGGGUAUAUGGCCACAAUAUCGGCCCAUUUAGUUUAUGUAUGGUAGGAAGACCUAGGGGUUAGACCUAGGCAUUAUGCAUGAAAGACCAGGAGGAGGCUCCUGGCAUACAGUAUGCUAUUAUGUAUGGUAGGAAGACUCGGGGGUUAGUCCUAGGCAUUAUGUAUGAAAGACCAGGAGGUGGUUCUUGGCACACUAUAUUUGUUUAUGUAUGGUAGGAAGACCCAGGGAUUAGCCCUAGGCAAUAUGUAUGAAAGACCAGGAGAUGGCUCUUGGCACACUUUAUGUUGUUAUGUAUGAAAGACCAGAAGGUGGCUCCUGGAACACCGUAUGCUGAGUAGCCUAGUAGAGUAGUAUGUAUAGUUAUCUUUGUGAUGCUUGCAUGGAAGACCAGGGGUGACCCUUGGCACUUAUCUGUAAGACCCAGGGAGUGGCCCCAUGCUUAACAAGGAAGACCACGUGCGGCCUGUGGCAUAACAGCAAGACUAUGUUUGGCACAUAACACCUUACUUAAUUAUGGAUAUGUUUAUUAUGUAUGGCUCAUGGUUACGUAUGGCAUGUAUGUAUCAGUUGAUAUGUAUGGUAUGUGGUAUCUGGGGAACUCACUAAGCUUCGUGCUUACGGUUUUUAGCUAUUUGUUUCAGGUAUUAAUGUUUUUCCGAGGAAGGAGCUCGGGGCGAUCGCAGCGUAUCACACCAUGUUUUCCGCACUAGAUGAUCUUUGGGAUUUAAAACUCUGAUAAAUGUCUUAUUGAGAAUGUUAUUAAAUGAUUGAGAAAAUUUUAUUUAGAGGUUUUUAAUUAAUCUAAAUGAAAUUUUUGGUCUUGAAUUUUGGGAUGUUAUAAGGAAGCUGCGUGAGGGGAUAUUCCCGGUUGGCAUCGGGAGGCCGCCAUUCGGAGUGAAACUUCUCGGGGGAGUUGUUAGUAGAGAUGCUAGUUUCAUUAGCAAUUUAACCAUAAAGAGAGCUGAAAACAUUAUGAAUUUGAUGUGCCUUCUUCCGUAAUUGUCUGAUCCAUAGAGUGAGCUCCUUCUACUUUGGUAUUGUAUGGGUAUUGCUAAACUUUUCUUUGGGUUGAGGACGUGACAACCCAUUCACAUGGAGGAUGCGGCGUUAUUCUUUGACAAUGGGUUGCGUGUGGAGAUUGAGGACUUUGUGGUUUGUGGUGGUCCUUUCUUUGACAACAUACAGUGGCGAAUUUAUUCCAUACGCAUUAGGUUUGGUGGUUUGGGUUUACACUCGGCAGUAGAGGCUACCUCAUAUGCUUUUGUUGCCUCAAGGGCCCAAUCUUGGGUAUUGCAAGACUACAUCUUAUGGGAUAACAUCAUAUAUGGUAUGGAUUCUAAUUAUGUUUGUGCCUUAGCUUCUCUUUGUAACAAGCUUCCAGACAUUGACCUUAGCAUUUUAUUACUAAGGACACCCCCCCUAAAUCCCAAGAUACACUGGCGAGUGCCUUUUUUAGUAAAAUUGUCCAAGAUAUGGAAGUGAAUUUCAACAUGAUGACUUGGCAUAAAGUAGUUUUCCAAUGUUUACAUGCACCACAUGCUAAAGAUUUUCUUCUAAGCUAUCCCUAUAAAUGGGCUUAGGUAACAUAUGUCUCCUGUGGAGUAUCGUACCAUCCUCAAAUAUUGACUCAUGAUUCCAAAAUUCCCAGUUGACGAGAUAUGUCAUGUGUGCCACAAGGCAUG